rnacentral:rRNA from 1 species
CCUACGGGGGGCAGCAGUGGGGGAUAUUGCACAAUGGGGGGAACCCUGAUGCAGCGACGCCGCGUGGGUGAAGAAGCGCCUCGGCGCGUAAAGCCCUGUCAGCAGGGAAGAAAAUGACGGUACCUGAAGAAGAAGCCCCGGCUAAGUACGUGCCAGCAGCCGCGGUCAUACGUAGGGGGCACGAGUGAUCCGGAUUUACUGGGUGGAAGGGGGGCGCAGACGGCGAUGCAAGCCAGGAGUGAAAGCUCGGGGCCCAACCCCGGGACUGCUCUUGAAACUGGGUGGCUGGAGUGCAGGAGAGGCAGGCGGAAUUCCUGGUGUAGCGGUGAAAUGCGUAGAUAUCAGGAGGAACACCGGUGGCGAAGGCGGCCUGCUGGACUGCAACUGACGUUGAGGCCCGAAAGCGUGGGGAGCAAACAGGAUUAGAUACCCUUGUAGUC